CUAGGAGAGCCGAAAACAGUUCUAGACAGACCUGGGGUUUUAUAGCAGUUUUGGCAGUCAACUUCAGCUUGUGCCUGAGCAGACCGGCUGCGGUGGCCCGCCAGCGGGGGACGCCAGGCCGUCUCCCCCAGCUGCACCUCUCCUAAUUAGAUCGGGGUUUCCCCUUGGUGCUAGGGAGAGGGGGUCCCCGCAGAAAGG
rfam:Equus caballus chromosome 4, whole genome shotgun sequence.